AAGUCGUAACAAGGUUUCCGUAGGUGAACCUGCGGAAGGAUCAUUACUGAGUUAGGGUUCUUUUGAGCCCGAUCUCCAACCCUAUGUUAAACUACCUUUGUUGCUUUGGCAGGCCCGUUCUUAACGGGACCGCCGGAGGUGUUUAGUUACCUCUGGCCCGUGCCUGCCAGUAGCCUACACAAAUUCUUUUACAAUUUGUCUAAGCAUUAAAUAUAAAUUUAAUCAAAAC
rnacentral:misc_RNA from 1 species